rnacentral:lncRNA from 1 species
GGGGUCAAGGCGAGCCUAUUGGAGCGGUUGGUUAGCGCCGGGGAAGACUCAUCGGCGGCUGGGCGAUCGCCGGAGCGGCGGCGCGAGGAGGAAGACGAAGCUGACGGGCGGGACCCGCCCGUCAGUGUCCGCAUGAGGGGAGAGGGCAGCGCGCGCAGCGUCCGCGUGGGCUGAGCGCUCGGGCCGGCUUGGGCCGAAGCCAAGCGGGCCGGCCGCGUGACCAGUGUGUUUUUCUUUUUCCUUUUUUGUUUAAAAAUGCUGAAUGUUUGAAUUUGUGUAAUACAUCUUGUGUAGAUUCAAAAAUCAUAGAAAUUUUUGUGUAGAUUCCCUAGAAUAAGUAGAACCCAAGAAAAAUAUUAGGUUCUGUUUUUUGAUAGUUUGCAAGUGUAUAAAAAUUACCUCUUUUAUUUAAUGAAUAAAACUUCUAGGAUUUUUAAUAAUUUAUUAGUAUGUCCAAAAAUCACCAAACUUUGUGGGGAGUCUCUGAAUAUCAUUUCCAAAUUUCACACAAAAUUUGGUGACAUUUGAAUAGUGUUUAAAUAAAAUAUUAAUAAACCCUUAUUUAGUAAUUAAAUAAUAAUUCUAGGAUAAUUAGGUAAUAAUUAGUUAAAUUCUCAAAAUUAGAGUUUGAGUGAU